CCCGAACUGGAAUCACGCAGCUCAGCUGGCAAUUGUCAUGCAGAUGAGCCGGCAGGAAUCACGCAGCUCAGCAGGCCCUGAUCCCGUGACUCUGCCGGCACUGAUCACCUGGCUGAUCAAGUACAGAUCACGUGACUGAGCAUGCACUGAUCACGUGGCUAUCAUGCACUGAUGACGUGACUGCCCAUGCACUGAUGAGGCUCGAAAGCGUGGGGAGCGAACAGGAUUAGAUACCCUGGUAGUCCACGCCGUAAACGAUGAGUGCUAGGUGUUGGAUCCUUUCCGGGAUUCAGUGCCGCAGCUAACGCAUUAAGCACUCCGCCUGGGGAGUACGACCGCAAGGUUGAAACUCAAAGGAAUUGACGGGGGCCCGCACAAGCGGUGGAGCAUGUGGUUUAAUUCGAAGCAACGCGAAGAACCUUACCAAGUCUUGACAUCCGGAUGACCGGGACGUAACGGUCCUUUCCCUUCGGGGCAUCCGAGACA
rnacentral:rRNA from 1 species